CAAAAGCGGCGUACUCGGUCAGGCUAAAACAGGAUGGACUAUUUACGAGUCGGCCUGGGGUUGGCCCGGGGCCGAUUUAAGCCUGAUCUUCUUAGGAUCCCCUCAAAAAAAAAAGCCUGAUCUUCUUAGGUGCGGUUUGACGAGCGAAAUCGAAAACCAGCCCGGUCGAACUGCUGCGCUAGGGACCCAGAGUACACCGCCGUCGUCCUCUAGGUCCGGAUCUACACCACCCGCCGGCUCGCCGGACCGACAACACCGUCCGCCUUGGUCCCUCCAUCCGAACAAGAUAGUUUUUCAGGCGAUCUAGUACAACAGGAUUUAGGAUGCCUCGACUUGGAGACCCAGAAGCAUCUUCGGUCUUGAGAAUUGCAGCAGAGUUUGGGUACCUCGCUUCCAUCGCCGCAGGAUGCUGGUUUGAUAACAACCUAUAUAGAUAUGGAAUGAGCUAUAUGCCCACCUUCUUAUAUUGGAGCAGAACCAUGCGGUGUAUCGGAGAUCCUUUCAUGGCAUGGAACCUUCUCUGGUUAGUUCUUGACGAAAUCGAUUCACCCAUGGCGCGGCCCUUUACUUGGGGGAGAAUUUAAGUGAUGUAAAUGUAACAAUUUCUCAAAACCGCAACCAAAUUGUGUCGUACUCUCUCCAUUCCACACUUAAUGAAGUUCUAUCUUUGUCCUAACUCAAGCUUGUUUAAGUUUGACCGGGUCUAUAGAAAAAUAUACCAAUAUAUCUAGAAUGCCAAAUUAGUUUCUUUAAAUUCUUUAGAACUUCAUAUAUUUGAUGUUGUAGAUCUAAACAUGUUUUUCUAGAGACAUGGUUGAAUUAAACAAGUUUCACUUAGGACAAAGCUAGAACUUCAUUUAGUUUGAAACUGAAGGGGGUUGGGAGGGAGUACAAAAUACCCUCUUUUGAGCAUGCAUUUCAAGUUGUGGUUUUGUCUUAUGUCAAUAAAGUGCGGUUUUCUGAAAUGCUAUGUCAAACAGUGUGGUUUUCUGA